AGAUGGCGACCGGCGCACGGGUGAGUAACACGUAUCCAACCUGCCGAUAACUCGGGGAUAGCCUUUCGAAAGAAAGAUUAAUACCCGAUGGCAUACGAAUAUCGCAUGAUAUUUUUAUUAAAGAAUUUCGGUUAUCGAUGGGGAUGCGUUCCAUUAGUUUGUUGGCGGGGUAGCGGCCCACCAAGACUACGAUGGAUAGGGGGUUCUGAGAGGAAGGUCCCCCACAUUGGAACUGAGACACGGUCCAAACUCCUACGGGAGGCAGCAUG
rnacentral:rRNA from 1 species